rnacentral:tRNA from 1 species
GUUCCUAUGGCUUAGAUGGCAAAGCGCCUGCCAGUAAGCAGGAGAUCACGAGUUCGAGUCUCGUUGGGACCU